rnacentral:rRNA from 1 species
AGAGUUUGAUCCUGGCUCAGAAUGAACGUUGGCGGCGUGGAUUAGGCAUGCAAGUCGAGCGCGAACCCCGCAAGGGGUGAAAGCGGCGAAAGGGACAGUAAUACGUAGAUUAUCUGCCCUCGGGACCGGGAUAGCUGCGGGAAACUGCAGGUAAUACCGGAUAACAUCUCCGGAUCAAAGGUGUGAUUCCGCCUGAGGAUGAGUCUGCGUCCUAUUAGCUUGUUGGUAGGGUAACGGCCUACCAAGGCAAUGAUGGGUAGCGGGUGUGAGAGCACGACCCGCGUCACUGGGACUGAGACACUGCCCAGACACCUACGGGUGGCUGCAGUCGAGGAUCUUCGGCAAUGGGCGCAAGCCUGACCGAGCGACGCCGCGUGCGGGAUGAAGGCUUUCGGGUUGUAAACCGCUGUCAGAUGGGAUGAAAUGUAGGUGGGUUCUCCCAUCUAUUUGACAUAUCCUCAGAGGAAGUACGGGCUAAGUUCGUGCCAGCAGCCGCGGUAAUAC